GGGGCCGUGGCGCAGUGGGAGCGCGUCUGAAUGGCAUUCAGAAGGUCGCGGGUUCGAAUCCCGCCGGCUCCACCA
rnacentral:tRNA from 1 species